GCCAGCAAAAACCUUAGACACAGUAUUAAGAUGGGUUGGACUUUAGGGAGGGCACCUGUAUAUGAUGUUAAUAUGUAACUUGCUUCAUUGACUUUGCAGUAUUUCGACGGAUAUGGGUAUCAUGGAACCUCAUUUGAGCAGACAUAUCGAUGUUACCCUUCAUCCUUUAUCGAUAAGGAUAAUUGGCCUUCUGUGAUGUUUGCAAUGGCAGGAUGGGUGGUACUUAGCCUUGUAAAUCUCUCAACUCAGUAUGCUUAGGAUUUUGUUGGCUUAUCAGUCACAUAAGUGAUCACUGCAAGCAUAACAGUUGUUAUAGGUCCUUUCUUUAUUGAGCAGGUUCCGAAGGCUCAAGUUGUUGGUUUUAAAAGUUUGUGCUUUUCCCCAAAUUUCCAAAUGGU